rnacentral:rRNA from 1 species
GACGAACGCUGGCGGCGUGCCUAAUACAUGCAAGUUGAGCGAUGAAGAUUGGUGCUUGCACCAAUUUGAAGAGCAGCGAACGGGUGAGUAACGCGUGGGGAAUCUGCCUUUGAGCGGGGGACAACAUUUGGAAACGAAUGCUAAUACCGCAUAACAACUUUAAACAUAAGUUUUAAGUUUGAAAGAUGCAAUUGCAUCACUCAAAGAUGAUCCCGCGUUGUAUUAGCUAGUUGGUGAGGUAAAGGCUCACCAGGGCGAUGAUACAUAGCCGACCUGAGAGGGUGAUCGGCCACAUUGGGACUGAGACACGGCCCAAACUCCUACGGGAGGCAGCAGUAGGGAAUCUUCGGCAAUGGACGAAAGUCUGACCGAGCAACGCCGCGUGAGUGAGGAAGGUUUUCGGAUCGUAAAACUCUGUUGGUAGAGAAGAACGUUGGUGAGAGUGGAAAGCUCAUCAAGUGACGGUAACUACCCAGAAAGGGACGGCUAACUACGUG